GAUGAACGCUGGCGGCGUGCCUAAUACAUGCAAGUCGAGCGAAUGGAUUAAGAGCUUGCUCUUAUGAAGUUAGCGGCGGACGGGUGAGUAACACGUGGGUAACCUGCCCAUAAGACUGGGAUAACUCCGGGAAACCGGGGCUAAUACCGGAUAACAUUUUGAACCGCAUGGUUCGAAAUUGAAAGGCGGCUUCGGCUGUCACUUACGGAUGGACCCGCGUCGCAUUAGCUAGUUGGUGAGGUAACGGCUCACCAAGGCAACGAUGCGUAGCCGACCUGGGAGGGUGAUCGGCCACACUGGGACUGAGACACGGCCCAGACUCCUACGGGAGGCAGCAGUAGGGAAUCUUCCGCAAUGGACGAAAGUCUGACGGAGCAACGCCGCGUGAGUGAUGAAGGCUUUCGGGUCGUAAAACUCUGUUGUUAGGGAAGAACAAGUGCUAGUUGAAUAAGCUGGCACCUUGACGGUACCUAACCAGAAAGCCACGGCUAACUACGUGCCAGCAGCCGCGGUAAAAC
rnacentral:rRNA from 1 species